UGGGGAAUAUUGCGCAAUGGACGAAAGUCUGACGCAGCGACGCCGCGUGAGGGAUGAAGGUUCUCGGAUCGUAAACCUCUGUCAGAAGGGAAGAAAUUAUGCGAUGCUAAUCAGUUGCAUAUUGACGGUACCUUCAAAGGAAGCACCGGCUAACUCCGUGCCAGCAGCCGCGGUAAUACGGAGGGUGCAAGCGUUAAUCGGAAUCACUGGGCGUAAAGCGCGCGUAGGCUGUUAUUUAAGUCAGGGGUGAAAUCCCACCGCUCAACGGUGGAACUGCCUUUGAUACUGGGUAACUUGAGUGUGAGAGAGGAUAGCAGAAUUCCAAGUGUAGGAGUGAAAUCCGUAGAUAUUUGGAGGAAUACCGGUGGCGAAGGCGGCUAUCUGGCUCACAACUGACGCUGAGGUGCGAAAGCGUGGGGAGCAAACA
rnacentral:rRNA from 1 species